AUAUUGACCGUGCGAAGGUAGCAUAAUCAUUAGUCUUUUAAUUGAAGGCUUGUAUGAAUGGUUGGACAAAAAGUAAGCUGUCUCAAUUAUAAUAAUUGAACUUAACUUUUAAGUGAAAAGGCUUAAAUAAAUUAGGGGGACGAUAAGACCCUAUAAAGCUUGACAAUAAUUUAAUUAUACUAUCAAUUGUUAGUGUAACUUGGUUUUAAUUAAAAUUUGUUGCGUUGGGGCGACGAGAAUAUAAUAGGUAACUGUUCUUAAAUAUUUAAUAACAAAUAUAAUUGAAAAUUAGUAUGAUCCUCUAUUAGCGAUUAAAAGAUUAAGUUACUUUAGGGAUAACAGCGUAAUCUUCUUUGAGAGUCCCUAUCGACAAGAAGGUUUGUAUUGACCGUGCGAAGGUAGCAUAAUCAUUAGUCUUUUAAUUGAAGGCUUGUAUGAAUGGUUGGAC
rnacentral:rRNA from 1 species